UACGUAGGGGGGCGAGCGUUGUCCGGAGUUACUGGGCGUAAAGGGCGUGCAGGCGGUGCGGUAAGUUUAGCGUGACAGUCUCCGGCUUAACUGGAGAAGGCCGCUGAAAACUGCUGGACUUGAGGGCCAGAGAGGGACAUAGAAUUCCGGGUGGAGUGGUGAAAUGCGUAGAUAUCAGGAGGAACACCGAUGGCGAAGGCAGGUCUCUGGGCUGACACUGACGCUCAUGCACGAAAGCGUGGGGAGCAAACAGG
rnacentral:rRNA from 1 species